GUUAACAAUGAAAUCCAGGAAGAAAUCAAAGAUAACUUUAAAAACAUGAAAAUGACCACCAAACCACCCAAAAUCUGUGGAACACAGGGAAAGCAGUCCUAAAACGGAAAUUCAUAGCAUUCCAGGCCUAUCUCAAUAAACAAGAAAAAGCUCAAAUGAACAGUCUAACUUUUCACUUAUAGGAACCUGAAAAAG